GGUUAAGUUAGAAAGGGCGCACGGUGGAUGCCUUGGCACUAGGAGCCGAUGAAGGACGGGACGAACACCGAUAUGCUUCGGGGAGCUGUAAGCAAGCUUUGAUCCGGAGAUUUCCGAAUGGGGAAACCCACCACUCGUAAUGGAGUGGUAUCCAUAUCUGAAUACAUAGGAUAUGAGAAGGCAGACCCGGGGAACUGAAACAUCUAAGUACCCGGAGGAAGAGAAAGCAAAUGCGAUUCCCUGAGUAGCGGCGAGCGAAACGGGACCAGCCCAAACCAAGAGGCUUGCCUCUUGGGGUUGUAGGACACUCUGUACGGAGUUACAAAGGAACGAGGUAGAUGAAGAGGUCUGGAAAGGCCCGCCAUAGGAGGUAACAGCCCUGUAGUCAAAACUUCGUUCUCUCCUGAGUGGAUCCUGAGUACGGCGGAACACGUGAAAUUCCGUCGGAAUCCGGGAGGACCAUCUCCCAAGGCUAAAUACUCCCUAGUGACCGAUAGUGAACCAGUACCGUGAGGGAAAGGUGAAAAGCACCCCGGAAGGGGAGUGAAAGAGAUCCUGAAACCGUGUGCCUACAAGUAGUCAGAGCCCGUUAACGGGUGAUGGCGUGCCUUUUGUAGAAUGAACCGGCGAGUUACGAUCCCGUGCAAGGUUAAGCAGAAGAUGCGGAGCCGCAGCGAAAGCGAGUCUGAAUAGGGCGAAUUGAGUACGUGGUCGUAGACCCGAAACCAGGUGAUCUACCCAUGUCCAGGGUGAAGUUCAGGUAACACUGAAUGGAGGCCCGAACCCACGCACGUUGAAAAGUGCGGGGAUGAGGUGUGGGUAGGGGUGAAAUGCCAAUCGAACCUGGAGAUAGCUGGUUCUCUCCGAAAUAGCUUUAGGGCUAGCCUCAAGGUAAGAGUCUCGGAGGUAGAGCACUGAUUGGACUAGGGGCCCCUACCGGGUUACCGAAUUCAGUCAAACUCCGAAUGCCGAUGACUUAUCCUUGGGAGUCAGACUGCGAGUGAUAAGAUCCGUAGUCGAAAGGGAAACAGCCCAGACCGCCAGCUAAGGUCCCAAAGUAUACGUUAAGUGGAAAAGGAUGUGGAGUUGCUUAGACAACCAGGAUGUUGGCUUAGAAGCAGCCACCAUUUAAAGAGUGCGUAAUAGCUCACUGGUCGAGUGACUCUGCGCCGAAAAUGUACCGGGGCUAAACGUAUCACCGAAGCUGCGGACUGUUCUUCGAACAGUGGUAGGAGAGCGUUCUAAGGGCUGUGAAGCAAGACCGGAAGGACUUGUGGAGCGCUUAGAAGUGAGAAUGCCGGUAUGAGUAGCGAAAGAGGGGUGAGAAUCCCCUCCACCGAAUGCCUAAGGUUUCCUGAGGAAGGCUCGUCCGCUCAGGGUUAGUCGGGACCUAAGCCGAGGCCGAAAGGCGUAGGCGAUGGAUAACAGGUUGAUAUUCCUGUACCACCUCCUCACCAUUUGAGCAAUGGGGGGACGCAGGAGGAUAGGGUAAGCGCGGUAUUGGAUAUCCGCGUCCAAGCAGUUAGGCUGGGAAAUAGGCAAAUCCGUUUCCCGUGAAGGCUGAGCUGUGAUGGCGAGCGAAUUAUAGUAGCGAAGUUCCUGAUUCCACACUGCCAAGAAAAGCCUCUAGCGAGGUGAGAGGUGCCCGUACCGCAAACCGACACAGGUAGGCGAGGAGAGAAUCCUAAGGUGAUCGAGAGAACUCUCGUUAAGGAACUCGGCAAAAUGACCCCGUAACUUCGGGAGAAGGGGUGCUCUGUUAGGGUGCAAGCACGAGAGAGCCGCAGUGAAUAGGCCCAGGCGACUGUUUAGCAAAAACACAGGUCUCUGCGAAGCCGUAAGGCGAAGUAUAGGGGCUGACGCCUGCCCGGUGCUGGAAGGUUAAGAGGAGCGCUUAGCGUAAGCGAAGGUGCGAAUUGAAGCCCCAGUAAACGGCGGCCGUAACUAUAACGGUCCUAAGGUAGCGAAAUUCCUUGUCGGGUAAGUUCCGACCCGCACGAAAGGCGCAACGAUCUGGGCACUGUCUCAACGAGAGACUCGGUGAAAUUAUAGUACCUGUGAAGAUGCAGGUUACCCGCGACAGGACGGAAAGACCCCGUGGAGCUUUACUGCAGCCUGAUAUUGAAUGUUGGUACAGCUUGUACAGGAUAGGUAGGAGCCUUGGAAACCGGAGCGCCAGCUUCGGUGGAGGCAUCGGUGGGAUACUACCCUGGCUGUAUUGACCUUCUAACCCGCCGCCCUUAUCGGGCGGGGAGACAGUGUCAGGUGGGCAGUUUGACUGGGGCGGUCGCCUCCUAAAAGGUAACGGAGGCGCCCAAAGGUUCCCUCAGAAUGGUUGGAAAUCAUUCGCAGAGUGUAAAGGCACAAGGGAGCUUGACUGCGAGACCUACAAGUCGAGCAGGGACGAAAGUCGGGCUUAGUGAUCCGGUGGUUCCGCAUGGAAGGGCCAUCGCUCAACGGAUAAAAGCUACCCCGGGGAUAACAGGCUUAUCUCCCCCAAGAGUCCACAUCGACGGGGAGGUUUGGCACCUCGAUGUCGGCUCAUCGCAUCCUGGGGCUGUAGUCGGUCCCAAGGGUUGGGCUGUUCGCCCAUUAAAGCGGUACGCGAGCUGGGUUCAGAACGUCGUGAGACAGUUCGGUCCCUAUCCGUCGCGGGCGCAGGAAAUUUGAGAGGAGCUGUCCUUAGUACGAGAGGACCGGGAUGGACGCACCGCUGGUGUACCAGUUGUUCUGCCAAGGGCAUCGCUGGGUAGCUAUGUGCGGACGGGAUAAGUGCUGAAAGCAUCUAAGCAUGAAGCCCCCCUCAAGAUGAGAUUUCCCAUUCCGCAAGGAAGUAAGAUCCCUGAAAGAUGAUCAGGUUGAUAGGUCUGAGGUGGAAGUGUGGCGACACAUGGAGCUGACAGAUACUAAUCGAUCGAGGACUUAACCAA
rnacentral:rRNA from 1 species